rnacentral:misc_RNA from 1 species
GCUUUUUGUGAGCUUCCGGUGCAUAUCAACUGUGUUUUGCCUGGCAUGCUUGCCUAUAAACUAUGACCAACACCUUUUUACUGUAUGGUAAAAGCUUGUAUUUUGCAACUUGACCUCUAUUGAACUGACACAGCCAGUGGAAACUUAUUGGAUUAGCAUGGAAGUGAGUUAAAUUUGAAUUGUCUUGCAUUUUUUCCAAAAAUUUAGGACACCAUGACUGUUGCUGGUAAUGUCACUGACAGACUUGGAUAAGUUCAAUUGAAUGAUU